GGAUAUAAAACUUAGAAUCUAAGAGAAAGUGCAAAUGAAUAGAGGGGAUCUUAGGGAAGGCCAUGACAGACUGGUGGUCAUACCCAACUAUUAGGAGUGCUGGCACACCCCUAACCAGCAUGUUAGCCAUAGAACUAGGAGUUAGGGUUCAUUAAAGGAUCAGGUCAGACAUGAGCAGCAAUUUGGAAAUUGCCAUGCCUGAACCUUAACUCAAACACAUAGAAGGGGAUUAAGGUGUAGGGAAAUUCACAAUAACAACAGAUGCAAAGAGAAGAACAUAUUCAAUACUGAACAUAAACUACAAAGUAGAGAAGAUUAUAGAAACUAUGAAGUAAACAUAUAGGGAUGAGGCUGAACAAAAUUAGAACAUACAAGUUUCAGGGAAACAAGAAGAGAAAAGCAGUAGUAAAGCCCAAUUGCAAGCAAACAACAAAAAGAACUCAGAAGAGAGCGUGAGAGUAUUGAAAUUGAGAAUGUAAGAGUAAGUAAUUGAGGGUGUAAAUGUUAAACGCAAGUUGUCUUAAAGAGUAUUUUUUUGGAAGUGUCAAAGUGCAGAAUCAUCAUCCCCUUUUAUAGUGCAGCAAGCAAGUAAGAAAAGGUAGAAAAUAGUUUUGCAAUCAAUUGUAAAAGGUUUCCCUUUAAUUAAGGGAUUUUGAUUUCAAACAGGUAAAAGACAAUUAAGAAAAGAGUUUGAUCAAAAUCUUUUCUAAAGUAGCAUAAGGAGGGUAAAUACACAGAAGUUUAUUCAAGGCAAAAGUCCAGUGGUACACGGUUUGUGAGAAUAAGGAAAGAAAAUCAAUCAAACGUCCAGUAAAAUCAAAAUUGUAGGCCUUGUUUGAAUGAACCAAGUCAGGAAAAGUGAGGAAAGGGUUUUACUUAAGGAACAUUAAUAACAAUCAAUCAAACCUAAAGAGAUUCUGAAUCCAAUCAUGAGUUGGCAAAAAC
rnacentral:lncRNA from 1 species